AUACUCUGGUUUCUCUUCAGAUCGUAUAAAUCUUUCGCCUUUUACUAAAGAUUUCCGUGGAGAGGAACAUUUAUGAGUUUCUACUUAAUUUUUUGAGGCUUCACUUCGGUGAAGCU
rnacentral:snRNA from 1 species